GUGCCUGUAGCGUGAUGGAUAACGCGUUGAACUUUUAAUCCAAAGGUCGUGGGUUCGAAUCCCACCUGGGAUG
rnacentral:tRNA from 1 species